UGGUCACAAAAAGAGUAUGCUUUAGUGACCAACUAUAAUGUUGGUCACCAAUUGUUUGGCGGAAAGAGAAAUCAAGCUCCCGCGGUUCCGGCAAUGGUGCUUGUGAAGCCGUUUUGGUAGGCAUUAGUGACCAAAUUUAUUUGGUCCCUAUCUCAUUCGUUAUCCUUGCGUCGUAUGUCUCUAUACAUCUCGUCUAAACCCAUGAAACCAGCACGACCCCGUAUAGCCUAAUGACCCCAACCUCCCAAAAUUUCCCUUAUUUCCCCACUGUGCGCCCAAUUCUCACACGAUUUUUAAACGUGAAUGCCAAUAGAAAGAGAGAGAGAAUAUCUGCUACCGAUUAGCAUCGUCAUCGGCAAUGCAUCUGGACCAUAUCUCUUUGUCACCGAUGAAAACAUUAUCGUCACCACCAUAAUAAACAUAAAGACCUUUCAAUAACCCUUAUCUUGGGUCUUCGAUCAACAGUUAGCGAUACUGAGUUUUUUUUUUUUUUUUUUGGUGCAAUUAUUUGUUUCUCCUUCUGGUGUCAUAUAUUGAGUCUGUGAUGAUGUAUUAUUAUUUUUAAUUGACAUUUUUUGUUUUUGAUUAGUGAUACAUUAGAAAUAGAAGCUGUUAUUUUUUAAUUCUCAAAUACACUCGUUCUUUGACGAUCAGAAUUGUGAAUUUUUUUGUGUGUGAAAUUGACAGAGCUGCACCUCUCUCUUUUUUAGCAAAUCUUUCAAUAACCCUUAUCUUGGGUCUUCGAUCAACAGUUAAAGAUACUGAGUUUUUUUUUUUUUUGGUGCAAUUAUUUGUUUCUCCUUCUGGUGUCAUAUAUUGAGUCUGUGAUGAUGUAUUAUUAUUUUUAAUUGACAUUUUUUGUUUUUGAUUAGUGAUACAUUAGAAAUAGAAGCUGUUAUUUUUUAAUUCUCAAAUACACUCAUUCUUUGACUGUCAGAAUUGUGAAUUUUUUUGUGUGUGAAAUUGACAGAGCUUCACUUCUCACAUUGUGAUACAUUAGCAAUAGAAGCUUUUACUUUCUAAAUGCUCAAGUAUACUAGUUAUUUGACUGGGUCUAUUUUUUUAGAGCAUUAAUUUAAAUAUAUUUCUACAACAAAAUUAAUUGCAUUUCAUGGAAAUUUAAGAACCUUGUUUGAUUAGGAUACUAUAUUAUCUUGACCAAUUCUUCAUUUUCCUUGGGGUUAUUAGACUAAGUUUGGUGUGUUUCUAUUCUUUCCUCUUACUUUUCCUCAAUUUUUUUCACUUUUAUAAAAGGUAGCUCUCUGCGCUUCUUUCUUUUUUACUCAUAAAGUAAGUCUAUUACAAAUUUAAUAACAAGAAUUCCCAUCUCAACCCAAUAGUCUAUUACAAAAUUUAAUAGUUUUGUAUACUUUUUGUCUAGAACUUGCUGAAAAUAUUUACCCUUGAAUAUUCUCUUUAAUGGGGCAGCCUCAUAUUUCCCUUAUAUAUUUGAGAUUUUUAGUCUAUGGGUGCCCUUGACAUUUUUUUUCAACAAUUCUCUCUUUUUAUGUUUAAUUGAUGUUGAUCAUUUGGGCAAUGUUACUAGCAGUACAACCACCACCAUUUGAAUUUACAUGAUCCACCACAAUAGAGUCACGAUUUUAAGUCUCUUGUCUUUCAUAUAUUUAAUUUGUACCACUUGGUAAAGACACUAACAUUGUUCUUGUACUUAUCUUGUUAUUAGUUUUGUAGGCUUGAUUAUUCUUAAAAUUAGUCGAGGUAUAUUUACUGAUCAUCGACUAGGAUAUUUGACAAGAAAGUCUAAAGUUGGGUUAUGUUGUUGCCAUUUCUAUUACCUUUUCUUUUAACCAUAUUUGUUUUUGUUGGGUUAGUUCUGUUCAUUUAAGGUUUAGUCAUAUCUUUAACUUCUUUUUAUUUUAAUAACAAUGCAUUUUACUUAUUUAAAACUUUUGAACUUCUAAAUUCUUUGUUGCAUUUCAUAAAAUCUCUCAUUUAGUUGGUGAUUAUUUUUUCUUACUUCGCAUUGUUUAUAACAUUCACAAAUGUAGAUGAACAUGAGCUGGAGAUUAAAGAUUUUAUUGAGGUGGCUAAGGCCCAAAAGAAUAAAACUUUAUUCUCGGUGAUGACACUUCAAAUGAAGAAGAUACAUCCAAUGAUGGUAGAGAUUUAUCCAACUUACCACUUUUGGUGGUUAGAUGAGGCAAAUGAAGGCAAGCUUGCAUUCUAUUAACUUCUACCAUCAUUGCAGCAAAUGUUGGCUUUAGAGCAUUCCCUCUUAUCUUAAGUUAAUCAGUAACAAUCAACUUGGUAUAUAUGCUGAAACUUCUGGAGUGUUUGUUGAUGAGAUGGCCUCAGGCAAAUGAAGAGCAAUUGAUUGGGAGGACAUGAAAAAAAUAAACUACUCAUGGAAGUGACAAAGUAAAGUGAUGAGAUUAGUGUCCCCAUAUAUAGGGACUUGGAAGAUUGCUUUUAUGUUUUAGUUUGGUAUUUUGUGUUGCACAAUUGAAAUUUUAUGUUGUAUUAGAAUCGAACAAUUGAGGGUAGAAAUUUGAUCAAAUUAUGUGUAAGUUUGUAUUUGAACUCGAAUUAUUAUGUACUUCUUAAUGAAAUUUAAUGUUAUGUUUAAAUUUGUGA